GGUCCGGUAGUUCAGCUGGUUAGAACGCCUGCCUGUCACGCAGGAGGUCGCGAGUUCGAAUCUCGUCCGGAUCGCAA
rnacentral:tRNA from 1 species